CAAGGAGACUUCUGGGGAACAGGAAACCAUGCAAUGGCCUUAAAACCCAUCUCUUCAGGAAAGCUUAUGGCCUCCCAGAGUAAUCUCUACCUUACAUACCUGUCUCCUGCUCUCUCCUAUGGGACAGUGCUUUGCUCUCUCCUCCAGCUCUGCUUCACUCCUACUUGAUAUUUCUUGUCCUAAUGUUUCUAAUACCCCACCUCCUAUAGUCUGUAAGCUCGUUUGAGCAGGAUCUUCUUCAACCUAUUGUUCCUGUAAGUUUUCU